UCCGAACACAGAAGUUAAGCUCUUUAGCGCCGAUGGUACUUGGUGGGAAGCUGCCUGGGAGAGUAGGACGUAGCCACGU
rnacentral:rRNA from 1 species